UAGCUCAGUCGGUAAAGAAUCUGCCUGCAAUGCAGGAGACCCGGGUUCGAUCCCUGG
rnacentral:tRNA from 1 species